rnacentral:lncRNA from 1 species
CUGAAAUGCUUAUUUCAUGUGUCAUUGGUACAAAUUUUAUAGAACUCAUACAGUCAGGUUCUUUCCCUCUCUCGUGUGCAGCCUGCUCAUCUCUCCAGCAUGUGGAAAAUAACACUUCUGGUUCUGUGCACUGUGCUUGCUCUGAGAGGGUUUGCAAAGGGGGCUCCCCUGAGGCCAGAAGAAAAAUGGAAACCUUUGGAUAAUCCCAGAAAUCGAGAUCUGUUUUUCAGAACGCUCCAGGCUUAUUUUUUGGGGAGAGGCCUUGAUCUCCGAAAGUUCCUAGAUACUUUCUCCAUAAAUAAUGACAGACCGAGAUCUGUAGCUUUCUAUCUGGAUCCUGUUUCUUCAGCAUUUGCAGAUUAUGAAGAAAAGAAAAAAAUGUUUCAAAACUACCUCAAAGGCUGAAGGAAGCUGCUGACUGAGGUGGUUACUCUUGGACUUCAUGUGAAAAGGAAGCACACAGGGCAAAAUGUUACUGCUUUGGGG